rnacentral:rRNA from 1 species
UACGUAGGGUGCGAGCGUUGUCCGGAAUUAUUGGGCGUAAAGAGCUCGUAGGCGGUCUGUCGCGUCGAUCGUGAAAACUUGGGGCUUAACCCUGAGCUUGCGGUCAAUACGGGCAUGACUGGAGUUCGGCAGGGGAGACUGGAAUUCCUGGUGUAGCGGUGAAAUGCGCAGAUAUCAGGAGGAACACCGGUGGCGAAGGCGACUACCUGGCCUGUUCUUGACGCUGAGGCGCGAAAGCUAGGGGAGCAAACGGG